rnacentral:sRNA from 1 species
AUGCAGCCGUCCCUGGGCAAACGGUAGAGAUGUGUUGCACACGAGACACUUCAGGAAGGUGUCCAUAAUUUAACAAUGAAUUUACAGAGUUCAAUUUCAAAAACAGUGAAUGGGAUUUUCCAUAUACAUGUAGCAGAAGAUGGUCUUCUUGCGUUUAUCAUACUGAACAGGUAAAAAUCUGGGUCAGAAAGCAUUCGCUGGCGUCUUGAAUCAAAUUCGUUACUGCUUUUUUGACGGAUUUUUUCCAGAGAAGAUUUGGGGAAAGUAGCCAUCUUGAAGGUAAACUAUGAGGUAGUAAAGGAAAUUAAACAUUAGAGCAAAGAUGUCGUGAAUAAAGCCACGUUUUUUGCGUUCCGAGGAUUGUUGGUAGUAAAACAGCCGAUAUAGGAAUAUCGGGUCAGGGGUUUAGUGUCCAGCACAUAAUCGAUCGAGGAAGAGAAGUUUUCCAUUAUCAAUUUAGGAUGGUACGAGAAGAGAGAUUCACAAAUAUCGGAUCUUGUUGUCUUUGGAAGGCCCAUAGCAAUUUUGCAUAUGAAGUGUUGGAGCGUGCUGAGUGCUUCGAGAUCUCGUUGCCGAAGGUCGCACCAGAGUUCGCAUCUGUAGAGAAUAGAGUGAAGGACAACUUUUUAUACAGUCGAGAUAUAGUGUCAGGAUUGAGAUGUUCGGUAUUUUUCUACACUCGUUUUCGAUUUUGUCGGUAUGGACCAAUUGAGAUUGCAGGAAGAUUCGUAAGUAAUUGUAUGUUUCCGAUAAUGCGACAGGUUUAUUUCCAAGAAGCGAUGAGAGAUUCAAAUUGGUUUCAAAUUGUGAAGAGGAGGAUCUAAGAACAUUGGAUUUAUCUGCAUUAAAAUUGAAUCCCCAGUUUGUGGAGUACCUAUGAGCGGUGGUAAGGAUGUUAUGGAUGGCUACAAAAGUCAAAGCGAUGCAGGAUAGAGCAUCUGCAAAUAUAGGGUUGGAGCUAACGAUGUUGUAGAUUCCUGUAUUUGAACAUUGACUUUGGAUUUCUUGGAGCAAUUAAUUGGUGAACACAAUAAAUAGAGAGAGAAAAAUUCAUUGAAAACGUUCUGAGGGACGAAUUCAGUGUUAUUCUGAUGGGAAACUUUUUUUUUCUCAAACAGCUCAAACAAAGUGGAAACAUUCAACAAACUUCAUUAAUUAGAAUAUUUCUGAAAAUAAUUUUAUAAUAAAAGCAUA